CUCUUGGUGGUGGAAAGCUCCGGCGGUGCAGGAUGAGCCCGCGGCCUAUCAGCUUGUUGGUGAGGUAAUGGCUCACCAAGGCGACGACGGGUAGCCGGCCUGAGAGGGCGACCGGCCACACUGGGACUGAGACACGGCCCAGACUCCUACGGGAGGCAGCAGUGGGGAAUAUUGCACAAUGGGCGAAAGCCUGAUGCAGCGACGCCGCGUGAGGGAUGACGGCCUUCGGGUUGUAAACCUCUUUCAGCAGGGAAGAAGCGAAAGUGACGGUACCUGCAGAAGAAGCGCCGGCUAACUACGUGCCAGCAGCCGCGGUAAUACGUAGGGCGCGAGCGUUGUCCGGAAUUAUUGGGCGUAAAGAGCUCGUAGGCGGCUUGUCACGUCGGUUGUGAAAGCCCGGGGCUUAACCCCGGGUCUGCAGUCGAUACGGGCAGGCUAGAGUUCGGUAGGGGAGAUCGGAAUUCCUGGUGUAGCGGUGAAAUGCGCAGAUAUCAGGAGGAACACCGGUGGCGAAGGCGGAUCUCUGGGCCGAUACUGACGCUGAGGAGCGAAAGCGUGGGGAGCGAAC
rnacentral:rRNA from 1 species